rnacentral:lncRNA from 1 species
CUUUGAAAUUCUUUUGAAGUUCCAACUAGUUGAUUUGCUGUUACUUCUUCAAGAUAUUGCCAACUUAUUCCGGAUACUAUCUGAACUAGUUCCGGUUUCAUUAGUCAGACUAUAAACUUUAAUGCAAGAUUUGCCAAUAUAUUGAAGUGAAAUUGUGCAUUUAAAUAAAAGAUCAUUUUAUGAUUAAAGUAGCUUCAAUAAUUCAUUUUAUUGGAUUUUAAUUUUAAUUUACAGAACACAUUCAACUUAUUUCAUCAUUAAUAUAAAUAAAUAAAUGCUAUGGGCGAUAUUAUCAAUAGUUAUUUCUUAUAGAUCGACAUUAUCUAUUAUGAUGUCACAGGCGGCCAAAUGGCUGCUUGGUAACGCAAAUACAUUUAGAGGUCCCAGAUCCCACAUUCCACGAAAACUGUUUUUUCAGGAUUACGGGCACUGGCUGGCGGUCCCUAGUCUUCACUAUCUGGCCCACUUCCAAGGAUGUGUCCGUGGUUGGAACUAAUUCCGCCCCUUGGUAAUCUCAUUGAUAGGAAAAGCGCAUAAAAACAGUAAAACAAAUCAAAUUAAAAACAGUGACAUCACAUCACGUGAUCAUAAUAGUGCUGAUAU